GGGCCUGGGGGAUUGGAUUCUGGCUUGCAUGCUGCUGGCAAGAGGGUGGGGGUAUAUGGCGGCGCCUGGCCCUGGCCUGGGGGCCUUGGUUCCUCCUGAACUAGCAUUAACACUUCUGUUCCAUCACAGGGCAGGCGGAUAUCUGGGAUGGGGAGAACCCAACUUCAUCUGGGUGUCUUAUGUGGUCUGGAACUUGAUCAAAUGCAGGAAUGGGACUCUGCUGAUAUUGUUGGCCGGCAGUUUCCAAAGCAGCCACAGAAAAAGACCUAUCGCCUCGCCACCUCAGCCUCGCCCUCGGAACCAACUGCCGCUGGUCAGCCGACCUCAGUAGGAAUGGUGGAUCGUACGGCAGGAGUGUGUCUGAGAGUUAUGAUGGUUCCAGCCCAUAUAAAGAUUUAUGUCAGCAUGAGAUUCUUAAAACAAAUAAUAGAAACAGCUGGAAUCCAUAUAUGUACAGUCUAUGCUCCCAACCAGCACAAACACAGGCAAGCUAAUGACGCUAACGAUGCUAGCGCCUUGUUUACUUCCGCCGGAAGCCUCACCGAGUACUCGGUAGAAACAGUGAACUGGUAUUUUAUUCCGCUAGUUUUGCAAACAAUAACAAAAAUAUAACACGUUGUGUGUUUUAUUAGUCCCAUUCUGAACACACGUGUGUUUUAUUCUGCUCCAGCAGGUGGCGCUAGUGCACCUUUACGCUAGUCACGGACCCCGGAAAAAGCAGAACCCGGAAGCUGCUAGCAGAGCUAGCUUGUUGUUGUUGUGGUGUGUGUGUGAGGAGAAAGUUUGAGGCUCUGCAGUAAAAAUGUCUUCACUUCAGUCUCUGGGAGAGUUGAUCAGCUAAAGCGACUAACUGCUGCUGCUGCAGAAAUCUUCUCACCGGGCUGUGGGAACUUUCUUCUCCUCCUCAACAACUUGGUGGAGUUCUUUCCAGAACCAGAGAAGAUAUUCUGAGGUCUUCGUGACAAUCGGAGCUCCAGAAUCAGGUUGUGGCUGUUAGCUAAACACGGCUAAAGGAAACCUGCUACCACUUCAGGAUCAUCCAUCAGCUGGGACUGAUUCAUCGUGUGUUCUUCACCACCUGGACCUGGACAGCAUGGACACAGGUGUGAAACAUCUGUAAAAGCCAGAUCUGGUGCAGGAAAAUGGCUGAACAGGGAGUGGGGACACACUUUUACUUCUGCGGUUAUUUUCAACAGGUGGUUCUGGUUAAAUAAGAAGCUUCAGAAGAACAGAGUGCUCGUGUCAACCACCAGCACCUAGAUUUUCUCCACAAAAAAGAGGAACAGGAGAAACUCUGGUCUAGUAUGGAGGGAGAGCAUCUCUAUUUGAAUAAGGAGACUGUUGCUGCCGGGUUUCAAUCCUUUAGCCAUAAAACACAUUUAAACAAACACACGAGAGUCCACACAAAGCAGAAACAUUUUGCCUGUGAGCACUGUGGACAAAGGUUUCACCAAAAGACUAAUUUAACCACACACAUGAGAGUCCACACAGGACAGAAGCCUUUUACCUGUGAGCUCUGUGGAAAGAAAUUUAGCUUUAAGUCACAUUUAAACAGUCACAUGAGAGUCCACACAGGACAGAAGCCCUUUCCUUGUGAGCUCUGUGGAACGAGAUUUAGCCAAAAGACAAAUUUAAACAGCCACAUGAGAGUCCACACGGGACAGAAGCCCUUUCCUUGUGAGCUCU